CUCAGAUUGAACGCUGGCGGAAUGCUUUACACAUGCAAGUCGAGCGGCAGCGCGGGGCAACCUGGCGGCGAGCGGCGAACGGGUGAGUAACACAUCGGAACGUACCCUGUUGUGGGGGAUAGCCCGGCGAAAGCCGGAUUAAUACCGCAUAAGACCUGAGGGUGAAAGCGGGGGACCGCAAGGCCUCGCGCGACAGGAGCGGCCGAUGGCGGAUUAGCUAGUUGGUGGGGUAAAGGCUCACCAAGGCGACGAUCCGUAGCUGGUCUGAGAGGAUGAUCAGCCACACUGGAACUGAGACACGGUCCAGACUCCUACGGGAGGCAGCAGUGGGGAAUUUUGGACAAUGGGGGCAACCCUGAUCCAGCCAUUCCGCGUGAGUGAAGAAGGCCUUCGGGUUGUAAAGCUCUUUCGGCAGGAACGAAACGGUGGGCUCUAACAUAGUCUGCUAAUGACGGUACCUGAAGAAGAAGCACCGGCUAACUACGUGCCAGCAGCCGCGGUAAUACGUAGGGUGCGAGCGUUAAUCGGAAUUACUGGGCGUAAAGCGUGCGCAGGCGGUUUCGUAAGACAGAUGUGAAAUCGCCGGGCUUAACCUGGGAACUGCGUUUGUGACUGCGA
rnacentral:rRNA from 1 species